GACGAACGCUGGCGGCGUGCUUAACACAUGCAAGUCGAACGGAAAGGCCCUGCUUUUGUGGGGUGCUCGAGUGGCGAACGGGUGAGUAACACGUGAGUAACCUGCCCUUGACUUUGGGAUAACUUCAGGAAACUGGGGCUAAUACCGGAUAGGAGCUCCUGCUGCAUGGUGGGGGUUGGAAAGUUUCGGCGGUUGGGGAUGGACUCGCGGCUUAUCAGCUUGUUGGUGGGGUAGUGGCUUACCAAGGCUUUGACGGGUAGCCGGCCUGAGAGGGGGACCGGCGGAAUGGGGGAGAAGGACGCGCCAAGACUGCUAGGGGGGGAAGGGGGGGAAAUUAUGGAACAGGGGGGGGGGGCUGGAGACGGCGGCGCCGGGGGGGGAAGGAGGGCCUUGGGGUGAAAAACCGUUUGCGCCGGUGACGAAGCGGGGGUGAGGGUAAGGAAAAAAGAGGAACGGGCAAACUCGGUG
rnacentral:rRNA from 1 species